AAGAACACGAGUCUAGAAGAAGUGUGAGAAACUCCGGUCUCUGGCCGAUUCCGAAGAAACCAAUCAGAAGAGUAUCAGAGUUCACAAUUAGCUGUUGGUCUCUUCUUCUUGAUCUAAUGUUCUGAAACUCCAGUCUCUGGCCGAUUCCGAAGAAACCAAUCUCGGAUCAUAAGGUGCAGUCUCUCCGUUAUUAAUUCCAUGUAAAUUUGUUUAUUUAACUAGAUUCACUACACUAUCCAGAUGACAGAGUAAAGCAGAGGACCAGAGAUUCAAUGACAGUACUCAGAGUUUGAAUCAGUGAUGAACAUUGAGGAAGUACAUCAACAAACCCUGAAAUGCCACCUGAGAUCCGCCCUCUCGCCACCAACACCAGCAAAAAAUUCUACUUCUUCUAUGGCCACCGCAAACCAUCUCAGAAUCGACCAACUGUCCGUGGUGGAAUCUUCUCCAAUCGCAAAACCUCAAACCCUAAUAGUUUUAACCAGUCUAAAACCCAAUCAAACCCUUCUUCUACCUCAUUCGACCUACAGAAAUGGGACCCCAAUUCUCCUGGAUCCCUAUCAACCCCACCAACAAAAACCCCAUCUGAGAAAUUCUUCUCAAUUGCUCAGACCCUCUCUCCAAUUGCUAGAUAUAUCUGUGAUUCCUUCCAUAGAAACAAACAUUGGGGACCGUCUGUCAUCACUGAUCUCAGUAAGCUUCGGAGAGUCACUCCUCAGCUCGUUGCUGAAGUUCUAAAGGUCCAAUCUGAUCCAAGGAUCUCCUCAAAGUUUUUCCACUGGGCAGGUAAGCAGAAGGGUUACCAACAUAAUUUUGCUUCAUACAAUGCAUUUGCUUAUUGCUUGAAUCGAACAAACCAAUUUCGGGCAGCUGAUCAAUUGCCCGAGCUCAUGAACAUGCAAGGAAAGCAACCUAGUGAGAAACAAUUUGAAAUUUUGAUUAGGAUGCACUCUGACGCCGGCCGUGGUCUUCGGGUUUACUAUGUUUAUGAAAAAAUGAAGAAAUUUGGAGUCAAACCUAGAGUAUUCCUUUACAACAGGAUCAUGGAUGCACUUGUAAAAACGGACCAUUUGGAUUUGGCAUUGUCUGUUUAUGAGGAUUUUAAAGAGGAUGGGUUAGUGGAAGAGAAUGUCACUUAUAUGAUCCUGAUUAAAGGGUUGUGUAAAGCAGGGAGGGCUGAUGAGGUUUUUGAGCUUUUGGGUCGGAUGAAGGGGAAUUUGUGCAAGCCAGAUGUGUUUGCUUACACGGCAAUGAUCCGGGUUUUGGUUUCAGAGGGAAAUCUUGACGGAUGUUUAAGGGUUUGGGAGGAAAUGUGUGGGGAUGGGGUUGAACCCGAUGUUAUGGCUUACACCACUUUGAUCACAGGUUUGUGCAAGGGGAAUGAGGCUGAUAAAGGUUAUGAGCUUUUUAAGGAGAUGAGAGAGAAGGGUUAUUUGAUAGACAGGGCUGUCUAUGGUUCAUUGAUUGAAGCAUUUGUGGCAAAUAGGAGGGUUGGUUUGGCAUGUGACUUGCUGAAAGAUUUAAUGGACUCUGGCUAUCGGGCUGAUCUUUCAAUAUACAAUUCUUUGAUAAAAGGUUUAUGUAAUGUGAACCAGGUUGACAAGGCUUACAAGCUUUUCCAAAUCACAGCUCAGGAGGGUCUUAGUCCUGACUUUGUUACUAUAAAUCCCAUCUUGGUGGCUUUGGCAGAGCAAACCAGAAUGAAUGACUUCUGUCAAUUGCUCGAGCAGAUGCUGAACUUGGGAUCUCCAGUCAUUCAUGAUCUUCCCAAGUUCUUCUCAUUCUUGGUUGAAAAGGGGGACAGAGAACUGACAGCUUUACAAGUGUUUAAAGACUUGAAAGAAAAAGGAUAUUCCAGUGUUGCAAUUUACAAUAUCCUUAUUGGGGCUCUUCACAGCAGAGGGGACAUCAAAGAAGCAUUAUCACUCUUCAAUGAGAUGAAAAAUUCAGAUGUUAGACCUGACUCAUCUACAUAUAGCACCAUAAUUCCAUGCUUCGUAGAAAUUGGAGAUCUCAAGGAGGCAAGCGUAUGCUAUAAUAAGAUGAACGAAAUAUCUGGUGUUCCCACUAUGGUUGCCUACAUAUCUCUUGUCAAAGGGCUCUGCAAAAUUGGAGAGAUUGAUGCAGCACUUUUGUUAGUCCGUGACUGCUUAGCAAGUGUAACGAGUGGGCCCAUGGAGUUCAAAUACACUCUUACCAUUCUCCAUGCUUGUAAGUCAGGUAAUGCUGAUAAGGUGAUAGAAGUACUGAAUGAAAUGAUGCAACAGGGAUUUCCACCAGAUGAUAUCAUAUAUUCUGCUGUUAUCUAUGGUAUGUGCAAGCGGGGCACUUUAGAGGAAGGAAGAAAGGUAUUUGUACAUAUGAAAGAGCGUGGCCUUCUAAGAGAAUCAGAUAUGAUCGUAUAUGAUGAGUUACUUAUUGACCACAUGAAAAAAAAGACAGCAAGUUUGGUUCUGUCAGGGUUGAAAUUUUUUGGUUUGGAAUCAAAGUUGAAAUCAAGGGGUAGUACACUCUUACUGAGUUGAAGAUACAUUCCAGGUACUGGGGGUGUUUUUGCAACCAUGAUAGCAGAUUCUCCUUGUAUUUUUGGACCCAGUGGUGUGGCUGAUUCAGUUUCUGCUGAGCUCAGGGAAAUUAUUCAAGAAUUGGAGAUUUCCUUAAGAAUGGGUGGCUUAAGGUCUAUGUGGAAAGGGAUUUCAGUUGGUGAUUCAGUGGCUCCAAGACGGUAGAAAAAAAUACCUUUGAGAUCUCCCUCUUAUAAUAAGAGGCAGGAUACUCUCAGCUCAAGGGAAAUUUUCUUUCACUUGGACAUAUAGGUCAGCAAACUCAUUGGCUGAUGAGCUUGAGGCACAUUCUUUAACAUGGAAGGUGAUGAAGUUGGCUAUGAUAUCAAAUUGGGAAGAUAUUUCUAUAUGCUGCAUAAUGUACAACACAUUCAUUUCCUAUGGCAAAUAUCCAAUAGUUAGACAACUAUAUGUGGAAAAAAAAAAAGAAGAAGAAAAAAAGCGGACCAUUCAGAUAUUGCUGACACCGUAGAGUCAUCGGACUCUGCAACUGAGGUAAGAAAUCAGAAUCUCUCUCUCUCUCUCUCUCUCUCUCUCUCUCUCUCCAACAUGGGAUAAUCCCUAUUACUGACUGAGCUUUUAGAGAAUAUGUUCUUUUAUGGAUGAAGCAGUAAUAUUUUCAUUUUGCAGGUGUUGUCUGGGCGGAAUAUUACAAGAGAGCCUGUUGUCUCUGCUUUUCUCUCUGAUGCAUAUCGAAUGUCAAAGAGCUUUAAUGCCUCAACUCCUUGUACUAGAGGAACACGACUAGAAUGAAGUAUAUGAACUUGAGAGGGCCCUCCAUGCUCAAACUGGUGGUUCAAUUUCAUUACCAGAAUGACAGAGCAUGGCUAAGGAAUGGUGUGUAGAAAGAUCUGAAUUGGGUUCUGAUGAGAAUAACUCUUUUGAGUUGUUCAGAAUGCCCAGUCCAUAUAUGUGUAGCAUGUCACAAGUAUUUUCAUGCAUUGUGUUAUCUUUUGUCUUAAUUUGUUAAGAACACUUUUCCGAAAUCUAAAAUUAUUGAAACCUCAGAGAUGGUUAAAAGGCUAUUAUUGUUGGAUCUUAAAAAGGCAUACUUUAGAUCAAGGAGUGCUUCCAUAAGUUUGGAUCAAUUGCUUCAAAAAAUCUUGUGCAGAAAAUAAUUUCCCCACUGAAUGUGUUUCUUGUUGCUCUUUCCUUGGAGAGUGAAAACUGGUGACAGAUGGGUGGGUAAACUCAAUUUGAGUUGUUAUUACAUUUGAAAGUAUUUUCUUGAUGUCAUAUUCCAAGCGUCACUUCCAGGAUUUCCUGCUCGGCUUGUUUCUUUCUCCUGGCCCAAGUUUUGCUUUAAAUCAAGUUUCAUCAUGUUGUGGAAAUAUUGAGCUACAGAAGAAACUGUUAAUGACAAUGUACAUUGUUCUAGCUCUAUUAUUUAUUCUCUUGAAUUAUAAUGCCUCAUCUUUGUUUAGAAAAGCUUGCAAAUCUGUCUCUCUUUAUGCUUGCAAAAGAUUCUAUUCAAAAACUUUGCAGGUCUCUGUCUGAACUUACUUAUCUGUUAUUUUGUAAAUGAUAUUGCAACCAUCUUAAUACUUUCUGGAAAGAUGAGCGUACCAAAAAUCAGCUUGAGUGAAUCAUUCCAAUGCUUGGCCUUGUUCAUCUCAAUCAGGUUGCCUUGAGUCUUUUUUUGGAUCAUACCAUCAGAGUUGGGAAGAUUUAAAAACUUUUUUUUUUUAAUCUAAUUUCUAGUCUUUCCCCAAAUUCAAGUUUAUCUCCCUUCUUAUGCAGUAUUUAUUUGGAUUUACGCAUGACAGGUUGGUACAUGCACUUGUUGCGAUGAGAAUUGGUUACUAACAUCGGAAGGAAUGACAUCAAUGUUCUUGCAUUUUGGUUAGGCUCAUAAAAGAAAUUUUAGUAAUUUGCUACAAGAAUGAAGGCUUUUUUAAGUGGCUUCAAAAGAGGUGUUAUUGGUGUGUGUUUCUGUUGGCUGUUUUAGGAAGAUGUAUCGCAGCUGUGGGUCUCGGUCUAGCUGCAAGGGACUUUCAAGCUUUGGAUUAUCUGGAGGGAUUUUGGUAUUCUACUUGGAGAAGCUGGGUUUCUUAUAUCUGUUUUAUAUGUGAGGUUGAAUACAUGUAAAUGAGAUGAUUCCAUUAAUGAAGCUGCUUUAGAGAUGAGUUAGACAAUUUAGGAUGUAUUCAAAUUGUUGUUACGCUCGUGACAGUUUGAUCUUUAAUAAAAAAAAUUCUUAAUUCUUUGCUCUUUGCAA